GACGAACGCUGGCGGCGUGCUUAACACAUGCAAGUCGAACGGAAAGGCCCUGCUUUGGUGGGGUGCUCGAGGGGCGAACGGGUGAGUAACACGUGAGUAACCUGCCCUUGACUUUGGGAUAACUUCAGGAAACUGGGGCUAAUACCGGAUAGGAGCUCCUGCUGCUUGGUGGGGGUUGGUAGGUUUCGGCGGUUGGGGAUGGACUCGCGGCUUAUCAGCUUGUUGGUGGGGUAGUGGCUUACCAAGGCUUUGACGGGUAGCCGGGCUGAGAGGGUGACCGGCCACACUGGGCCUGAGCUACGGCCCAGACUCCUACGCGAGGCAGCAGUGGGGAAUAUUGCACAAUGGGCGGAAGCCUGAUGCAGCAACGCCGUGUGCGGGAGGACGGCCUGCGGGUUGUAAACCGCUUUCGCUUGUGACGAGGCGUGAGUGACGGUAACGGGUAAAGAAGCACCGGCUAACUACGUG
rnacentral:rRNA from 1 species